rnacentral:rRNA from 1 species
UACGGGGGGGGCAAGCGUUGUUCGGAAUUACUGGGCGUAAAGGGCUCGUAGGCGGCCAACUAAGUCAGACGUGAAAUCCCUCGGCUUAACCGGGGAACUGCGUCUGAUACUGGAUGGCUUGAAUUCGGGAGAGGGAUGCGGAAUUCCAGGUGUAGCGGUGAAAUGCGUAGAUAUCUGGAGGAAUACCGGUGGCGAAGGCGGCAUCCUGGACCGGCAUUGACGCUGAUGAGCGAAAGCUAGGGGAGCAAACGGG